GAUGAACGCUGGCGGCGUGCUUAACACAUGCAAGUCGAACGGGAAUUAUUUUAUUGAAACUUCGGUCGAUUUAAUUUAAUUCUAGUGGCGGACGGGUGAGUAACGCGUGGGUAACCUGCCUUAUACAGGGGGAUAACAGUCAGAAAUGGCUGCUAAUACCGCAUAAGCGCACAGAGCUGCAUGGCUCAGUGUGAAAAACUCCGGUGGUAUAAGAUGGACCCGCGUUGGAUUAGCUGGUUGGUGGGGUAACGGCCCACCAAGGCGACGAUCCAUAGCCGGCCUGAGAGGGUGAACGGCCACAUUGGGACUGAGACACGGCCCAGACUCCUACGGGAGGCAGCAGUGGGGAAUAUUGCACAAUGGGGGAAACCCUGAUGCAGCGACGCCGCGUGAAGGAAGAAGUAUCUCGGUAUGUAAACUUCUAUCAGCAGGGAAGAUAGUGACGGUACCUGACUAGGAAGCCCCGGCUAACUACGUG
rnacentral:rRNA from 1 species